CUUCCUGCCUGGUUGCAGGUGGCCGGUGUCGGCCGCCGAGGAAUGUCCUGUCAGGUUGAAGCCGGGUUGUCGAGCUCACAGCAUCGCUUUCUCAAGAUUGUUUUGUUUUUUUCUGUUUUCGUUCGAAAUUCCACCUGAGUUUAACUCGUCCCCUCCUCUCUGUUCGUAUAUGGGUCGUGAGUUGUUGAGAGUUUCCAGUGAAUCAGAUAGAGGGGAGCGUCCAUCGCGGCUUUGAAAUAAAAGGUUGGGUUUUGGUUGUGUGGAACGGUAACUCCGCGAGCGGCACACGAAAGGAUAAAUCGGAGGGACGAAAGGAUUUUUUUUUUUUUUUUUCCUUGAAGACUGAGAGGCUGUGAUUGUGGACCGAGGGCACAUGGAACACCUGCACACAUACUGGAUUUUUGCCCCGAGACGUCCAAAAGGAAGCAGGCUGUGAGCUGAGGGAAGACAGACGACAGAUAUGAAUGUGUUCCGAAGGUUUCUUGGUGGCUUAUGGCAUCCUCCAAAGUCCUGUCCGAGAGCUGUUCCUGACCAGGAAGACCCACGGAGACUGUCUCUGAAAUCAAGUCCCGAUGAAGAA
rnacentral:lncRNA from 1 species